CUUCAUUUCUAAUGGGUCAUUUGUAAUGAUUAUCGUCUAUUUUUCUCUUUGCAUUUAAAAGUUUUUUCUUCAUGUCUUAAAGUAUACAAAGAGAAAAGAAACAGAUAUGAAAGAGGAAAUAUGGGUGACAGAAAGAAGGCUUGAUUAGAGGAUUUGAAAACAUAAUGAAAUAGCGGUCUCUAAAUUGGACUCUGGGCUUUGCUCUUGAAAACACUGUGUACUCAAUCCCUCUGCAGCUGAAAAAUUGAAAACAGGAAGUGUUUUUGCUUUAGGGAAAAGAUUUCAUGUCAACAUUAAGACAUAAAGUUGCAUGAGCUAGAAAUAACCAAGAUUUUUGCAACUAGAAGAAUUAUCAGAUAUUGGGGGUUCCUAGUGUGAAAAUGAAAUCCCCCUGUUGACUCUCUUUUCCAGGUUUCUAAAGUAUAAGAAAACAUGUCCUGUGUUAUUAAUGGUUCAGAUGUAAUGAAGCCAGCCAAAGGCACCAGUAAGUUUUGUUUAGCACCAGCCUGGACUGCAAUCUUGCCAGUGUGGAAUGGAUGGGAUGAGAGGUGGAUGGGCCCAGCCUUAGAAGCAAGAUUUAGAUCUGUAAAUAUAGGUCAUCACAAUGGAGAGGGAAGAAUCCAGACUUCAGGAACCCAAUGUAGAGUCCAGCAUGACCCCUCGUUCACAAUCAAACUGCCUUUAACAUACAGGAGCACCAAAAGGCACAGGAGUGGACGCCAGCAGACUCAUUAGCACCUCCCCAGCAUCACCUCGGUCCACUUAACUGAAGAACAGCUGUUGAAGACGGCAAGAGCCAAAACAAUACCCAGUUCUCAACCAAAUAAGAUAUCUCUGAAAAGAGGAAAAAUGGUUGUGAGCUGCCAUUGUCCCAUUUUUAGGAGAAACUAUAGAAGGAACAGCAAGCAGUUACACAGAAAUGUAAGAUUGUGCCUAUGUUAAUUCCAAGCAAUAGUCUUUCUAUGUAUAACCCAUUGCUAAUUAAAUGUUAUCACUUAACAUUCAUUAUUGACAAGAGUUUUCUGGCUAUUGUCAAAGCUCAAGUGAAAGGCUUUUAGUUUCUUUCAUUCCUUCUAAAUGAAACCAAUUUAGCAGAUCCUUCCUUCCCUCCCUCUCUUCCUUCCUUCCUCCCUCCCUCCCUCCCUCCCUUCCUUUCCUUUCUUUCACGGAGUUUUGCUCUUUUUGCCCAGGCUGGAGUGCAGUGACACAUUCUUGGCUCACUGCAACCUCUGCUUCUCAGGUUCAAGUGAUUCUCAUGUCACAGGCCCUGGGGUAGCUGGGAUUACAGGGGGUGCCACCACACCUGGCUCGUUUUGUAUUUUUAUUAGAGAUGUGCUUUCACCAUGUUGGCCAGGCUGGCCUUGAACUCUUG
rnacentral:lncRNA from 13 species